GCUUAAUGGUUAUGUACAUAUACUAAAACUAGAACCAUACACAGAAAAUAGCAUGGCUGCUGUGCAAGGAUGACAUGCAAAUUCAUGAAUCGUUGCAUAUCUUA
rfam:Erinaceus europaeus unplaced genomic scaffold scaffold00785, whole genome shotgun sequence